UCUGGUUAUAAUAGCAGAGAGGAUACACCUGUUCCCAUUCCGAACACAGAAGUUAAGCUCUCUAGCGCUGAUGGUACUUGGUGGGAAGCUGCCUGGGAGAGUAGGACAUAGCCAGGU
rnacentral:rRNA from 2 species